UGGGGAAUAUUGCACAAUGGGCGCAAGCCUGAUGCAGCGACGCCGCGUGGGGGAUGACGGCCUUCGGGUUGUAAACCUCUUUCACCAUCGACGAAGGUCCGGGUUUUCUCGGAUUGACGGUAGGUGGAGAAGAAGCACCGGCCAACUACGUGCCAGCAGCCGCGGUAAUACGUAGGGUGCGAGCGUUGUCCGGAAUUACUGGGCGUAAAGAGCUCGUAGGUGGUUUGUCGCGUUGUUCGGGAAAUCUCACGGCUUAACUGUGAGCGUGCGGGCGAUACGGGCAGACUAGAGUACUGCAGGGGAGACUGGAAUUCCUGGUGUAGCGGUGGAAUGCGCAGAUAUCAGGAGGAACACCGGUGGCGAAGGCGGGUCUCUGGGCAGUAACUGACGCUGAGGAGCGAAAGCGUGGGGAGCGAACA
rnacentral:rRNA from 1 species